AAGGCCUAAUGCGUGCACGAGCAUUAGGUUCCUAAAUCGCCAUAAUUUUGGCGGAGCCCAACCUAGCUCCGAGGGACAUUGGUGCUAAAAUCGGGUAGGUGAAAAAAGGGCUAUAAACCCUAUAUAUACACUACAGGGAGGGACACUAUAGUGUUAGGAAUACACAUUUGUAUUGUGAACAAUAUAGUGUUCCUUUAAUGUUAACACAUUCCACUAUGCCUCAACUAUUUAUGCUAGAAGAGAUAAAUAAGAGACUUUGCAAUACAAUGGGGUAAAUUUCUCCGUUCAUUAAUCCAUUGCAACCCCCACCCCAGAAUGACAAGGGUAGCUAUUUACUUAUUUUUACUCAUCGGAUUAAUAAAAUAAAGUAAACGUGUGAUAAAAUAUGGCUGCAUCUAGUGAUAUAUUAAAG